UUUUUCUUGACUUCCAUUUAUUGGGUGACCUCAUAAAUAUUUAACAAACAGAAAUAAAGAUGUGAAAAUAAAGUAAUGCUACAAAAUUAAUCAUGAACUUUUAAGGUCAUGUGAUAUCAAAACACUAAUAUUUCUACUAAAAAAAAAUUGUAAGCAGCCAGUAAUAUUCAAUGAUACCCUGUGAUGAAAAUCAUCUGAGCAACUAUUUCAAAUCAAUAACACAACUAUUGCAAAUCAAUAACACUUGGUAUAGAGCAUCCUUAAUACUUUGAAAACAGGUAACAGAAAGAUACAUGAUCUCAAAGAAAGAAC